AGUGAACGCUGGCGGUAGGCCUAACACAUGCAAGUCGAACGGCAGCACAGUAAGAGCUUGCUCUUACGGUUGGCGAGUGGCGGACGGGUGAGGAAUACAUCGGAAUCUACUUUUUCGUGGGGGAUAACGUAGGGAAACUUACGCUAAUACCGCAUACGACCUACGGGUGAAAGCAGGGGAUCUUCGGACCUUGCGCGAUUGAAUGAGCCGAUGUCGGAUUAGCUAGUUGGCGUGGUAAAGGCCCACCAAGGCGACGAUCCGUAGCUGGUCUGAGAGGAUGAUCAGCCACACUGGAACUGAGACACGGUCCAGACUCCUACGGGAGGCAGCAGUGGGGAAUAUUGGACAAUGGGCGCAAGCCUGAUCCAGCCAUACCGCGUGGGUGAAGAAGGCCUUCGGGUUGUAAAGCCCUUUUGUUGGGAAAGAAAAGCAGCAGGUUAAUACCCCGCUGUUCUGACGGUACCCAAAGAAUAAGCACCGGCUAACUUCGUG
rnacentral:rRNA from 1 species